GUGUGGUUAGAUCUGACCAGAGGACAGUUGUAGUGUGGUUAGAUCUGACCAGAGGACAGUUGUAGUGUGGUUAGAUCUGACCAGAGGACAGUUGUAGUGUGGUUAGGUCUGACCAGAGGACAGUUGUAGUGUGGUUAGAUCUGACCAGAGGACAGUUGUAGUGUGGUUAGAUCUGACCAGAGGACAGUUGUAGUGUGGUUAGAUCUGACCAGAGGACAGUUGUAGUGUGGUUAGAUCUGACCAGAGGACAGUUGUAGUGUGGUUAGGUCUGACCAGAGGACAGUUGUAGUGUGGUUAGAUCUGACCAGAGGACAGUUGUAGUGUGGUUAGGUCUGACCAG
ensembl:lncRNA